GAUGAACGCUGGCGGCGUGCCUAAUACAUGCAAGUCGAGCGAACGGACGAGAAGCUUGCUUUUCUGAUGUUAGCGGCGGACGGGUGAGUAACACGUGGAUAACCUACCUAUAAGACUGGGAUAACUUCGGGAAACCGGAGCUAAUACCGGAUAAUAUUUUGAACCGCAAGGUUCAAAAGUGAAAGACGGUCUUGCUGUCACUUAUAGAUGGAUCCGCGCUGCAUUAGCUAGUUGGUAAGGUAACGGCUUACCAAGGCAACGAUGCAUAGCCGACCUGAGAGGGUGAUCGGCCACACUGGAACUGAGACACGGUCCAGACUCCUACGGGAGGCAGCAGUAGGGAAUCUUCCGCAAUGGGCGAAAGCCUGACGGAGCAACGCCGCGUGAGUGAUGAAGGUCUUCGGAUCGUAAAACUCUGUUAUUAGGGAAGAACAUAUGUGUAAGUAACUGUGCACAUCUUGACGGUACCUAAUCAGAAAGCCACGGCUAACUACGUG
rnacentral:rRNA from 1 species